GAAAGUGUGGCAUAGUGGUUUGAGUGUUGGACUAUGACUCUGGAGGCCAGGGUUCAAUUCUCCACUCAGUCA